rnacentral:rRNA from 1 species
AGUUUAAGUAAUUAAGGGCGCACGGGGGAUGCCUAGGCUCUCAGAGGCGAAGAAGGACGUGACAAGCUGCGAUAAGCUGCGGGGACCGGCACAGACGGUGCGAUCCGCAGAUUUCCGAAUGGGGCAACCCAGCCAGCAAUGGUUAUAUCGAAAGAUAGGCGAACGUGGGGAACUGAAACAUCUAAGUACCCAUAGGAGGAGAAAACAACAGUGAUUCCGUAAGUAGUGGCGAGCGAACGCGGAACAGCCCAAACCAUACAUGUUACGGCAUGUACGGGGUAAUAGGACCUGCAUAAUCGAAGACAUUUCAGACGUGAACGCCAUGGGAAAGGCGGCCGUAGAUGGUGAGAGCCCCGUAACGGAAGGAAAUGUCAAGAGGCGGGUAUCCUGAGUAGGUCGGGACCGGAGAAAUCCCGAUUGAAUUUGCCGGCACCAUCCGGUAAGGCUAAAUACUCCUGAGAGACCGAUAGUGAACCAGUACCGUGAGGGAAAGGUGAAAAGUACCGUGAAUAACGGGGUGAAAUAGAACCUGAAACCGUGCGCUUACAAGCGGUCGGAGCGGAGCGAUUCCGUGACGGCGUGCCUUUUGCAUAAUGAGCCUACGAGUUACUCCUCACUGGCAAGGGUAAGGAUUUAAGAUCCGCACCCGGAGCGAAAGCGAGUCUGAACAGGGCGCUGAGUCAGUGGGGGUAGACGCGAAACUUUGUGAUCUACCCAUGGACAGGUUGAAGCUCUGGUAAAACAGAGUGGAGGACCGAACCGAUAAACGUUGAAAAGUUUCCGGAUGAUCUGUGGGUAGGGGUGAAAGGCCAAUCAAACUGAGAAAUAGCUCGUACUCCCCGAAAUGUUUUUAGGAACAGCGUCGGGAAUUGUACGGCGGAGGUAGAGCUACCGAUAGGACUAGGGGGAGUCACAUCCUACCAAAUCCUGACGAACUCCGAAUGCCGCCAUACAGAACCGGCAGUGAGGGCUUGGGUGCUAAGGUCCAAGUCCGAGAGGGAAAGAACCCAGACCUGCCGCUAAGGUCCCAAAAUCCACACUAAGUUGAACAAAGGUGGUCCAGUUGCAGAGACAGCCAGGAGGUUAGCUUGGAAGCAGCUAUUCCUUUAAAGAGUGCGUAACAGCUCACUGGUCGAGCGACAGGGCGUCGAUAAUAAUCGGGCAUCAAGUGUGGUACCGAAGCGCAGGAUUGUAUGUGGUGAUACGUCAUCACGCAGUGGUAGGGGAGCAUUCCAAUGACAGCGAAGGUACAUGGCAAUGUGUGCUGGAGACAUUGGAAAAGCAAAUGUAGGCAUAAGUAACGAUAAGGCGGGCGAGAAACCCGCCCACCGAUAGACCAAGGUUUCCUGAUCAACGCUAAUCGGAUCAGGGUCAGUCGGGACCUAAGGCGAAGCCGAAAGGCGCAGUCGAUGGACAACGGGUUAAUAUUCCCGUACCUGUUAUACAGGCAAUGGAGGGACGGAGUGAUGAAAGACACGCCCGGUGACGGAAUACCGGGUUGAAGGUCGUAGGUAUUGGGGGUGUAGUAAAAUGCGCACCCUUAGCCGAAAGCCGAUAGUACCGAGCGUCUUCGGACAAUCGGAUAGCUGUCCUAAGAGCUUCCAAGAAAAUCUUCUAGCGUUAAGCGUAUAACGGCCCGUACCGCAAACCGACACAGGUGGUCAAGGAGAGAAUCCUGAGGUGCUCGAGUGAAUCAUGGCUAAGGAACUCGGCAAAAUGGCCCUGUAACUUCGGGAGAAGGGGCGCCUACCCACAGCGAUGUGGGAGGCCGCAGUGAAAAGGCCCAGGCGACUGUUUAUCAAAAACACAUGGCUUUGCGAAGUGGCAACACGAAGUAUAAGGCCUGACACCUGCCCGGUGCUGGAAGGUUAAGGGGGGGCGUUACCGCAAGGGAAGCGCUGAACUGAAGCCCCAGUAAACGGCGGCCGUAACUAUAACGGUCCUAAGGUAGCGAAAUUCCUUGUCGGGUAAGUUCCGACCUGCACGAAUGGUGUAACGAUCUGGGCACUGUCUCAGCCAUGAGCUCGGUGAAAUUGUAGUCGCGGUGAAGAUGCCGCGUACCCGCAACGGGACGGAAAGACCCCAUGAACCUUUACUGCAACUUAACAUUGGCAUUGGGCAAACGAUGUGUAGGAUAGGCCGGAGGCAGUGAAGUGGCGUCGCCAGGCGCUGUGGAGCCAACCUUGAAAUACGGCCCUUUGUUUGUCCGGUGUCUAAUCCCUCAAGGAGGGAGACAUUGUUUGGUGGGUAGUUUGACUGGGGUGGUCGCCUCCAAAAAGGUAACGGAGGCUUCCAAAGGUCCCCUCAGUACGCUUGGUAACCGUACGCGGAGUGCAAUAGCAUAAGGGGGCUUGACUGUAAGGCCGACAAGCCGAGCAGGGACGAAAGUCGGGUAUAGUGAUCCGGCGGUUCUGUAUGGAAGGGCCGUCGCUCAAAGGAUAAAAGGUACUCUGGGGAUAACAGGCUGAUCUCCCCCAAGAGCUCAUAUCGACGGGGAGGUUUGGCACCUCGAUGUCGGCUCGUCACAUCCUGGGGCUGGAGAAGGUCCCAAGGGUUGGGCUGUUCGCCCAUUAAAGUGGCACGCGAGCUGGGUUCAGAACGUCGUGAGACAGUUCGGUCCCUAUCUGUUGCGGGCGUGGGAAGUUUGAGGAGACCUGACCUUAGUACGAGAGGACCGGGUUGGACUGACCGCUGGUGUACCGGUUGUGAUGCCAAUUGCAUUGCCGGGUAGCUACGUCGGGAAGAGAUAAGCGCUGAAAGCAUCUAAGUGCGAAACUCCCUCCAAGAUGAGACUUCCAAUAAGGGCCGUCAGAGACGAUGACGUCGAUAGGCUGCAGGUGUAAAGUCAGAAAUGACAUAGCUGAGCAGUACUAAUUGCCCGGAAACUUAAACACAC